rnacentral:lncRNA from 1 species
CAUUUCGUGCGGCAGCUCGGUCCUGAGGAGACGGGGCUCGGCAGCGGCCGGGUGGGGAGGAGGAGAAGAAGGAGGAGGAGGGAGGCACCGGCUGCGGCACCGAGGCAGGAAGCGGCGGCCGCUGGGGGGGUGGGGGGAGGGGAAGGAGACAGGAAAAAAGGAGAAAAAAAAGAAAAAGAGGCAAAACAAGGCGGCGGCAGCAGCGGAGGCUCCGCGCGGAGGACCCGUCGCCGCCGGGCUCGCGGCUACCGGAGCGCCUCCCGACUCCCCCGGAGCCGGUGUCGCGGCAGCCGGCCUCUCCCCCUCUCCCCGUUCUCUCGUCGCUCUCGCCCGCGGAGCCUCCCUCCUGCUCCUUCCAUCGCCGGCAGCAGCGUCCCCCGCGGCGACCCUCCCGGCGCCCGGCCGGUUUACAUGAGGGGGAAGGAAGCCCGCCUGGAGCCGAGAAGACGCGCAGCAGGGGAAGGACUGCUCCGAGGAGCCGCCGCCGCCGGACUCCGCUCCCCGGUUAGUCCGCCGGGCCCCCCCUCUGCUGCGCCCAGCGGCCGAGACCCCGUCCCGUAAUCUCCGGGAGAUUUGGGAGAACCGGUUAAACACCUUCCAUGGGGGAGAGAGGAGCCCGGCCCCCCGCCGCCAGCACCUUCCCCUCCCUGCCGGAGGCUGCUCCUCUCCUGAGGUAAAAAAACCCCCUCCUGCCUUCCCCGACACUAGGACUCUUGCGAGGGAGGGGGGACACUGCGGGGGCACCCCACAGAGAGCCGGGGCCUGGCGAGCCGAGCCCGCCCGCCCCUGCCCCGCUGGAUGCCGAGUCCUUGAGGAGGAGGAGGAACAACACACACACACUCGCAAAUCCACCGGCCUUUCAGCCCGGGGCUCGCUGUCUGCGGGGAACCCGCGUAUCUCGGUGGAAAGAGGCGAGCCCCGCACCAGAACCCACCCUCCCAGCAGCAGUGAGAGCAAGAAAAUCUCCUUCCCCUUCCUCCUGCACAACUCGCUGUCCCCUCCCUUCCCUUUCCCGAACUGUGAAUGCUGAUUUCUGAGAUGAAAAUCUUCCUCAUCGGACAGCCAGGACUCGUAUGAAGGACACGCAAAUACUGGAUCAUAAAUAAGAAGCGAGUCUGGCGAGCUCAGAAACCCAGCCCAAAAGGAGCAGCAUCAAGAAUCCACCCCUCUCCUGCACAACUGACUCCCCACCCAACACACAUAGAAUACUAAUUUCCUGAGAUAAGAUCUUGCCCCUUUAAACAACCACACACACGCGCAUACACACACAGUGUAUAUUAUUGCUAAAUAUAAUAGGUUAAACCCAACAGCACGGGGGGAAAAAGCCUCUAUUGCAACUUGGUCCCCCUUUUCACCCUUCUGAAUGCUGAGAUCCUGAGGUAAAUUUUUCCCUUACCCACAGCAAAGACUCUUUUUGAACAGGACACAAAUAUAUAUUAGAUUAUAGAGAUGUAUUAAAUUAUUCCAGAUUUAAAUCUAUUUUUUGCUGCCAAGGGGUCAGGGGACCAGACGUCAUUGUAUUUUCUUUUUUUUUCCCUUCCCUCUUAACUCAUUUAUGGGCGAGUUGAGGCUGCUGAGAAGGAAGAAAACAGGAUAGUUACAAUCUCUUUAUCCUUAUUCCCCAGAAGCUUUCUCUCUCAUUGCUGUGCAUUUCCUUUAGGAAAAAAAGGAAACCUCUUAUUUUGUGAACCAAAGAUUUAUUUUUCCCUUCCUCCUGGCCAAAGGAAGGAAACAGACAAAAUUGACACAUUUAAAUAGUUGGAGAGAUCUAUCUUUUGCAAAAAAA